rnacentral:rRNA from 1 species
AAACUUAUAAGGAUUUCCUUAGUAACGGCGAGCGAAAUGGGGAGAGUCCAGAUUGUUUAUCCUAUGGCCAUAUCAUAGGAAUUGUAGUCUGUAGAAGUGUUCUCAGUGGCGGUCUAAGCUUAAGUCCCCUGGAAGGGGGUGUCGAAGAGGGUGAGAGCCCCGUUGAGAUUAGACCCUGUCGCAUCAAGAGAUACUGUCACAGAGUCGGGUUGUUUGGAAAUGCAGCCCAAAUUGGGUGGUAAAUUUCGUCCAAGGCUACAUAUUUAUGAGAGGUCGAUAGAAAACAAGUACCGCGAGGGAAAGAUGAAAAGGACUUUGAAAAGAGAGUCAAAGAGUGCUUGAAAUUGUUGAGAGUGAAGCAAAUGUGGGUUGGCAAUGCGUCUCGGUUUCUUGUGGAACAGUUAUAUACUGGUUUGCUAUUUGACUUCUGGCGUGAUUCGAAGCGAAUUCUGGCAGCGAUUAAAAACCAAGGCAGCGAUUUAUAUGUUUGGAUAUAUGUUAUUGCCUAGAUUGUGGUAGGCAGCUCGCGUCAUUUUAACGUACCUUGGUACCGCGCGCUCCGGGCAUUGACUUGCGAGCUCCCCAUUUGACCCGUCUUGAAACACGGACCAAGGAGUCUGACAUGUGUGCAAGUCAACGAGUGAGAAAAUUGUGAGGCGAAAGGAAGCUGAUGCGGUGGGAUUGCCAUAUGGGCUGCAUCGCCGACCAACCUUGAUCAUUUGAAAAGGGUUUGAGUGUGAGCAUGCGUGUCGGGACCCGAAAGAUGGUGAACUAUGCCUGAGCGGGGUGAAGCCAGAGGAAACUCUGGUGGAGGCUCGUAUCGAUACUGACGUGCAAAUCGUUCGUCUGACUUGGGUAUAGGGGCGAAAGACUAAUCGAACCAUCUAGUAGCUGGUUCCCUCC